AGAUUGCUGAGGUUAAUAUCUUAACAAUUGGGAAAUCUCAACAUAAGUUGACUGCCAGUUUGACCACUGAUCUGCAUAAUAUCAGUGGGAGAGCAUGCUGAAUCCCGCAGCUUCUGCACCAUAUGUUUCCUGUCCGAAUAGUUGAAAGUUGCGACCACACAUUCCAUGGGUGAUGAUAUCUACCAAAAUUCUUGGCGGCACAGUUCUACCCUCGUCAGUUGCACUUGUCCGAGUCUUUCUCUGCCUCUCAACCAACUCGAGAUAUUCCCCCCCCCCCCAACUGCAUCCCGGCACAGCUUCACAUCAACCCAUCUAAUUAAUUUGUCGUAAAGGUUGACCACACAAAUUUCCUGUUUGGUUGUGGAGAUAGAAUCAUUUUUUUUUUGUGAAAGUUUGAUUUCAGACACUUAAAAAUUGAAAUUGUCAUGUAUUAUUAGGCAUGGCAGGCAUUAGCAAAGCAUCUCAAUCAAGUAUUAAUUAUUUUACUUUGUCAAUGUUAAUUCAUUGUGUAUGCUAUUCACCUGUUUGCCUUGCUUUUUAUAAGAAUGACACAAAAAAGGAAAGCAUUUGUAAAGUAUUAGUUAAUUUUUUUUAUAUAAUCUUAGACGAGAUGUUUAGUGAAUAUUUGUCAUAAAUUCU